CAGUGUGACAUCACAACAGCCAAAACAGAAACACGGGUGCCGGAGACUCGUAGGUGUAGGAGAUCAGGCCACAGCUCCUCUGUGCCUCUUUGAACUGCCUGGGGACGAAAGAGGUCAUGAGCUGCCUCAAGCCUGCAAAUGAAGCAUACUGCAGAGAAAAUUAAGUGGGCUUCCUGGUGAUAGGCAAGGGCUCUGACGAGAAGGCGCCCAUGAAGCUCAAGUCAGCGGGGGAAAGCCCGACAUCCCUGCCUGAAAGCUUGUCACAGCUGAGACCUCGCACACGCCAAGGACACGUGCGGACGGCUGGGCUCCUCCUCUGCUGUGCCCACCCAAGGACAGCCAGCUCUUCUGCAGAGGCUUCUGCUGCUACUCCUUGUUGCUGAUUAACCCCUUCCUAGGCCACAAGCACGUUCACUUGUCAUGGCACGGCCUCAGCCCCUGCUGGGCAACACUGUGUGACCGCUUGGAUCUGAUUCCACAGCAGGCACGGGUGGUAAUUCUGAUAGCCUGGUAUAAAAUCUCUCCUUUGGGACCUUAAAUAAGACAGUAACUUACUACACUCAAUCUCUCCCUUCUAUCACAAGGGCUUCCCUUUGUGAAAAUUCAGGACCAGGCGCUGGGAAAUAGAACCACGGCACACGGCACAGAAGCAUGGAGAAGUCAGCAUAACGACUGAAGUCACAGGGCAGUGACAGCGUUUGAGAAGCCACACAGAGGCGUGGACAGGGAGCCCCAAGCCCAAGGAUCCAGGGCAGGGAGGGGUGAGGCACCAGGCAGGAAGGGUGUGGGACGUGGAGCUGAGCAGGAGAAAGACAGCUGGUGUGGUUGGGAGAUUGAGCAAAUAGGUAAAUACACUGAGGAUUAUACGAGCCAAAAUUCUCAUUGCCAGAGAAGAUAUUUAUAAACUGAAACAGGAAGUUUAGAAAGAACCCUGAGGUGUUGGACUGGAGCUGAGGUAUCAGUAUGAACUUAUGUUUUUAUUAGUGGGUGUCUGUGUGUGUGUGUGUGUGUGUGUGUGUGUGUGUGUAAAUAUAUACAGACAGAUAAAUACAGAAAUAGUCACAGAUGAAAAUGUGUACACACGUGUAUAUCCAUAUACACAUAUAAUGUACAGUAUACAUUUCCCAUCUCUGUCCACUGAGUGAAUGAGCCUAAAAGCAAUGUACCCCACUACCAAUUAACACACUGAGUGCCUACA